ACCACAAGCAAGCGUUCAUAGCGAUGUCACUUUUUGAUCCUUCGAUGUCGGCACUUCCUAGCAUUGUGCAGCAGAAUUCACCAAGCAUUGGAUUGUUCCACUAAUAGGGAACGUGAGCUUGGUUUAAACCGUCAUCACCCAUCACCACAUCCCGGUC
rnacentral:ncRNA from 1 species